AUAGUGCGCAUGCUUGAGCCCACUUACCUAACACCUGAGAUCUUAUUGGGACGCUGCUGAUAACCAGUUUCAGAGACAGGGUUUUACCAUGUUGUACAGGCUAGUCUCCAACCCCUGGGCUUAAGCAAUCCUUCUGCCUCGGCCUCCCAAAGUGCUGGGAUUACAGAUACUACAGUCUAACCAAGUUAACGUAACGUUACUUUCUCAAUGAUCACAGUGAUACUGGGAGUUGACGAGGCUUGUAACAAUCUACUGGGAUGAUGUGAGCCUUUAUUAACCUCAUCAGAGAUGCUCAAGCACUGAAUUGUCUUAAGAAAACAAGUAAGGUUUUGUCACCUAUCCUAUUUCUCACUGCAAGUUGAAAAAAAUCAAAUCCAAACACCACCACCCCUUCUAUGACAACAAACGGCUGUGGAG
rnacentral:antisense_RNA from 1 species